UUUCCAAAAGCCUGCACCUCCGUCCUUCUGAGCCUGCCCCAGGCUGCGGAGCCCCCACGCCUGCACCAGCAGAGGGAGAGCCCUAAAUUCCUAGGAGCUUGUGACCCUGUGGACAGUCGUUGGUCGGUGGCUGAUAAGAGCCAAGCUGGGAGAGUCCAGCUCGGGGCCUUCAGGUAGGAUGAUUGCAAGAUGUAAGGACGCUCUGGAGUCUGCAGGCUCCAACCACAGCAUGCUCGCGGGGAUUUCAUGUGACAUUGCGUCCUGAGCUGGCUUUUCCCCUCCUCUGUUCUGCUUCCCCUACUCCACUCUUGGUUUCUCCUGGGAGCAUUUUGACAAAUCGCUUGACCCAAAUCUUCAUGUCGGGAUCUGCUUCUGAGGAGCCCAAGCGGGAGGAUGGAGCUGACCUCUGUGAGGAGCACGGUGGUGUCCGAUGAAAGGGAGAGAAGGCAGGCUGUCUGGUCAGAUUGGUAAAUUUGGGAGUGGGAAGAUAAGGAUGCCUUCUGGGUGUUUCUAUUAUCUCAGUCGUGUCCAGCUGGCAGGGGAGGGAUGCUGGAUUGCUGGGGAGAAAGGAGAAGGUGUGAAGAAGUCAUCUGGGAAAGCCAGAGAAUGAAUGUUUUGGAGAGACUGCUAGGCAGUAUUGCUGGAUUUUCUCCAGCCACGUCAGCUGCUUAGACUUAGAGAAGCUGGGGGUUGGUCUUAACCAAGGUUACUUACCUGAUUUCCAGGUAAGUAAGCUGGAGGGGAAGAGUUUAAAAGGUGUUAGGGUAUAAGAAGGAGGCUCUGAUGGUAAGGCAUGGAACCUUUGCUGGGGACAGAAGGAAGGGAGGAUGACGGAGGGGCAGCCUAGCAAAGAGGGUCAAGACUAUAGACUGUGGAUCCUGAUAAAGGGCAAGAACUGUCGGCACAGCGGGUGUAGGCCGUGGUGAUGGGACGUGGUGGGCAGACAGCGGCGCGCCUGGAACUCAGUUUGUGGAGCCGCCACCGCAGCAUGGCCACUGACAGACGAGUGGUGUGGUUCUGUGCCUGGGGACUGAACCCAAGCUGCCAAUGUGGAGCCCGCAGAACUUCACCCAGUAGGCCCUUGGGGCUGGCGCUGUAUGAUUCUCUAUUCACCACCAGCAGCAUGGUCUCUUCCCUUUGCCCAUAUCAACUGUCAACUGUGUUCUGCGGGCAUCUCUCCAUCCCCUCAGCCUCCCCUCAGCCUCCUUCCAGCCCCCACAGCGCCCUGUGUUGGAUGUCUACUUGCACAUGCCUUCCCAGAGGGCCAGCCAUCCUGAGA